GAGUAGAGAAACACAAUUCAUUUUUUAUGUUCUCCAGGUAUUUGGCAAGAUGCUUGUCAGAAAUCAAAGACUCGUACUAUGCUGCUUAGGAACGUCCCUGGAGAUGUUUCUCUGGACUGCACUAGUGGAAAAGUUCCAGGCAAGAUCCUGUGUCCUGGGCUGUGCCAUGUACCUGACUGUGAAGCAGUCACUGCUGGAAGACCAUCCGGUUCUUUGAAGAUUCAGCCCCUUCCUAACCUUGCAGAAGACUUCCUGUUGUGUCCUGUUGUCAGGAGGAGAGGUUUUGUGAAGGUGCUGUGCAGAGCACCCGGCUUUGUCAGCCUCGUGCAUGCGAGGGGAACCUGCUUUAGGAAAGAUGUGACCAAUGCAAACACAGCCUGGCAGGGGGACUCUGAGGAUGAGGCUCACAAGUUGUCAACUGGUAUCAAGUCCUGCCAUUCGCCAUGACCCCUGCCCGACCGCUCACCCUUCCUCUUUGUUGCAGAGAGCUAAUUUUCCAAGGGGUAAGAAGUGAUAGCACACUGUGAAAAUCUCUGUUGACUGUGCAAAAGCAGCAUUGGUUCCUGUUCCUCAAACCUCAGCUUUUGUCCAGGUUUGUCAUUUUCUCCGUGGGAACAAAGCUGCCUAGAUUACCAAAGACUUUUUGCCCUGAAUCUAGUUCAGAUAUGUCUGUGAUUGUCUCUGUGGAUUCCAUCCAACAAAGUGAAAUGAGCACUGAUGAGGAAAGUGAUAAUUUCCUUUGUUACGUCAUUCAACAAAUAUGUUCACCAAGUAUCGGUCAUAUGCCAUUCUCCAUAUUGGAUGCUGGAGACUUAAUCAAAAACAAGAGACCAGUUCAUUGAUGUUAAUCAGAUAAUCAUGAUGAUAAUCAUUCAAGUAGAUGUCAAAGCAAAACUGGGAGAAAGAAGAUGAAAUUUAUUUUAACAACGUCUGUUUUCAGAUUUUUCUCAAUCUCAACUCCUAUCUUUGAUAAGAGUGUUGUUUCUCACUGUCACCAUUUAUCUCUUGCUCUCAGGAAGAAAAAAUGAAGGUCAGGGAGUCUUUCUUGCACCUAUGGUUUUUCUAAGUGCCUUUAGCUCAAAAUAGUCCUUAUACCACAGUGGCAUAUUCUCCCUCCCCUCAAUCACCCUAUCUGUAAACUUAAACCCAGGCCCAUGACUUCAUAGCAGGAGAAAGCAUCCUUUUGAAAGAAAUCAGAAUCUGUCACCCCAAAGUAUGCCUCUUUCAGAUAAAAAUUAUUUUUGAGCUAAAGGUAAAUAAAAAGCAGUAAAUGGAGGAAAAGCA
rnacentral:lncRNA from 1 species